rnacentral:rRNA from 1 species
GACGAACGCUGGCGGCGUGCUUAACACAUGCAAGUCGAACGGAAAGGCCCUGCUUUUGUGGGGUGCUCGAGUGGCGAACGGGUGAGUAACACGUGAGUAACCUGCCCUUGACUUUGGGAUAACUUCCGGAAACUGGGGCUAAUACCGGAUAGGAGCUCCUGCUGCAUGGUGGGGGUUGGAACGUUUCGGCGGUUGGGGAUGGACUCGAGGCUUAUCAGCUUGUUGGUGGGGUAGUGGCUUACCAAGGCUUUGACGGGUAGCCGGCCUGAGAGGGUGACCGGCCACAUUGGGACUGAGAUACGGCCCAGACUCCUACGGGAGGCAGCAGUGGGGAAUAUUGCACAAUGGGCGGAAGCCUGAUGCAGCAACGCCGCGUGCGGGAUGACGGCCUUCGGGUUGUAAACCGCUUUCGCCUGUGACGAAGCGUGAGUGACGGUAAUGGGUAAAGAAGCACCGGCUAACUACGUG